rnacentral:rRNA from 1 species
UAGGGAAUCUUCGGCAAUGGGGGCAACCCUGACCGAGCAACGCCGCGUGAGUGAAGAAGGUUUUCGGAUCGUAAAGCUCUGUUGUAAGUCAAGAACGAGUGUGAGAGUGGAAAGUUCACACUGUGACGGUAGCUUACCAGAAAGGGACGGCUAACUACGUGCCAGCAGCCGCGGCAAUACGUAGGUCCCGAGCGUUGUCCGGAUUUAUUGGGCGUAAAGCGAGCGCAGGCGGUUUGAUAAGUCUGAAGUUAAAGGCUGUGGCUUAACCAUAGUACGCUUUGGAAACUGUUUAACUUGAGUGCAAGAGGGGAGAGUGGAAUUCCAUGUGUAGCGGUGAAAUGCGUAGAUAUAUGGAGGAACACCGGUGGCGAAAGCGGCUCUCUGGCUUGUAACUGACGCUGAGGCUCGAAAGCGUGGGGAGCAAACAGGAUUAGAUACCCUGGUAGUCCACGCCGUAACGAUGAGUGCUAGGUGUUAGACCCUUUCCGGGGUUUAGUGCCGUAGCUAACGCAUUAAGCACUCCGCCUGGGGGAGUACGACCGCAAGGUUG